GCUCAGUUGGUUAAUUGUCUGACUCUUGAUUUCAGCUCAGGUCACGAUCUCAAGGGUCAUAGGUUCAAGUCCUGUGUUGGGCU
rnacentral:tRNA from 1 species